AAUGCGAUAAGUAAUGUGAAUUGCAGAAUUCAGUGAAUCAUCGAAUCUUUGAACGCACCUUGCGCUCCUUGGUAUUCCUUGGAGCACGCCUGUUUGAGUAUCAUGAAAUCUUCAAAGUAAAUCUUUUGUUAACUCAAUUGGUUUCUACUUUGGUAUUGGAGGUCUUUGCAGCUUCACACCUGCUCCUCUUUGUUCAUUAGCUGGAUCUCAGUGUUAUGCUUGGUUCCACUCGGCGUGAUAAGUUAUCUAUCGCUGAGGACACUGUAAAAGGUGGCCAAGGUAAAUGCAGAUGAACCGCUUCUAAUAGUCCAUUGACUUGGACAAUACUUUUAUGAUCUGAUCUCAAAUCAGGUAGGACUACCCGCUGAACUUAAGC
rnacentral:misc_RNA from 1 species